AGUGAAUUCAGUUGGUCAGUGCUUAACCUCUAUGGACCCAGAGGAAAGAUCAUCAGCAUCCCAGGCAGCUGUCCUCAGGGGGCAGGGCCACCCGGGUGGCCAAGAAGGCUGAGCCUGGCAUGAAUGGAGACCUUGUGCCACAUCCCUCACUGGAGCCAGGAGCCACAACACAGGGGCUUUUCACGAGAAAUCUUACAACAGGGAUGGCAUUAAGCGUGACCAGUGGCCAGCGGGCAGACGUGGGGUCUGGAGGACACGUGGCAUCAGUGGCAUAACAUCUCUGCUCCUCCUGAUCCUGCCUGAGUCGAGGAGCCACUCAGAGGUCUCUUUCCUGACGGAGGACACAUUGUCACAGGGACCAGAGCUGCAGCCGCUCUCCGAGAGCCCCUCAGCUGCACAGAAUGAGCCUAAAAUCCAAUUCCCGGAGAACAUCAGCAAACAGAACGGAUGCAGAACCAGAGGAAGUGCCAGAGGCCUGGCGUCUUUGCCAGAUCCCCGAUGAAGCCAGACUCGGGUUUUUGCUGGCUGCUGCCUUGAAGUGUUGCCCCUGUGACAUGCCGCCCUGCCUUGGAGCCGCUGAUUAUGGACUAAAACCUCCACAAACUGUGAGCUUAAUAAACCUUUCUUUCCUUAA